UUGUGAUAUAGAUGAAAUGAAUGGCAACCCACAUUAACCGCAGGCUGAACAACCCCCCUGGAAUGUUUGCUGAAGAGCAAGGCAGUGGAGGCUGGCCCACAGAGGAGCCCUAUCGCCAGCCAUCAGCAAAGACCAGACCUGGUGGAGACUGGAGGACACGCCUGAUAACUCAGUGCCCUUGAGAGCUUUCUAGGUGCCUCCAGGCUGCUCCAGUCCUGUGUGUGUGUGUGUGUGUGUGUGUGUGUGUGUGUGUGUGUGUUGUGUGUGAGAAAGAGAGGGAUACAGUCCCUGGUAGGUAGCAGUACUCUUAAAAGCUCCUACCACAUCCAUGACCUUGGCACUAACAGGAAGCCAAGCCUUUGUGGACAGAUCCCAUGAACUUGAACAAGGAGUUUAUAUAUCAAAUGGCCUCAUAGAGCUGUAAGAGGAAGCCCAGAUGAAUCUUUCUUGAAUGGACAAAUGCUUUCAUGUAAGUAGGAGGUGGAUUAGGUUCUGGAACUGCCCUGUCCCUCUCCAUUUACCCCACUCUUCUCUCUUCUCCUCUGAUUUCUUUGUGGUGCUGGAGGUGGACCUCGGCACUUCACAUGUUAGACAAGUGAAGUGUACCACUAAACUGUAUCUCAGUCUCAGAUGGAAUUUUCUUAAGGAAGUCCAGGAAAUAUUUCAAAUAGGCAACAGAACCUAAGAUUUGUCCAUAUUGACAAUUCCCAACUCAGCGACCAACCAACAAAUUAACCAACCAGCAGCCAACCAGCAAAUCAAGCAACUAGUUGAACCACCAAGCAACCAGCCAACCAUCUAAGCCACCAACCAACCAACUAAUCAGCUGACCCAGAAACCAAAUAGACAACCAACUGUACAGUCAACCAACCAACCAAGUAAACAACUAAUGGGAUAACCAUCAACCAACUGAACAAUCAAUCAUCUAACCAACAGAGCCACUAAUCAACCAACCAACCAACCAACCAACCAACCAACCAACCAACCAACUAACCUAGCAUGAAAACAACUAAGUAACCAAUAACCAAGAAGUAGAACCACUAAUUGAAAUAUUCACUGGGU
rnacentral:lncRNA from 1 species